GCGCCCGUAGCUCAACCGGAUAGAGCAACGGCCUUCUAAGCCGUGGGUUGUGAGUUCGAGUCUCGCCGGGCGCGCCA
rnacentral:tRNA from 2 species